ACCCAACUGACGAGUCUUAAAUAGGACGAAACGAGUGUCUUGGAU
rnacentral:hammerhead_ribozyme from 1 species